CGGAUCGUAAAGCUCUGUUGUUAGGGAAGAACAAGUACCGUUCGAAUAGGGCGGUACCUUGACGGUACCUAACCAGAAAGCCACGGCUAACUACGUGCCAGCAGCCGCGGUAAUACGUAGGUGGCAAGCGUUGUCCGGAAUUAUUGGGCGUAAAGGGCUCGCAGGCGGUUUCUUAAGUCUGAUGUGAAAGCCCCCGGCUCAACCGGGGAGGGUCAUUGGAAACUGGGGAACUUGAGUGCAGAAGAGGAGAGUGGAAUUCCACGUGUAGCGGUGAAAUGCGUAGAGAUGUGGAGGAACAUCCUUGGUA
rnacentral:rRNA from 1 species